AUAUUUUAAGGCAAAAAUGCCUUCUUAAUAUCUUCAAUAUUAUACUUUAACUAUAAGCUACUAAAAUA
rnacentral:tRNA from 1 species